CUGCCUCUCUCAGCAGUAAUUAAUUGCUUAGUCUGGGGUGGGUGAGGUCUCAUGAAAUUCCCAUCAUCCAUGUUGGCACGUCAUCAGAUACUAUUACUGCUCAGGUCUUGCUUAAGCAGCGGUGUUGUUGAGAGUUUUUGCAUGUAGCUUCCCUGUCACAAAUAGACCUUCAGUCCAGCAGCAGACUUCCUGGCCCUUGCUUACUUACUCUUGCCUCCCCUUUUCUGUGAUGCUUUCUGGACAGUAGGUGUAGGAAUUGUGUUGAAUCAGCUAGAAAUGGGUGCUCCACAGUCAGUUAUCCCUGAAUUUUGGCCAUUUUUUUCCUAGACAUAGUUUUUGUAUGUAGCCCUGGCUGUCCUGGAAUUCAUUCUGUAGACCAGGCUGGCCUCAAAGUUAGAGGUCCUCUUGUCUCUGCCUCCAAAAUGCUGGGAUUAAAGGCGUGUGCCUCUAUGCCAGGCAAAAGAGAAGCUUCUUUGAUGAGGGUUGGAUGGUAUACUUCUCUGUGGGUAUGAGAAGUCCUUAGAGGGCAAUUAGAAAUUAUACUGGUUUAAGGAAGUGAUACUAGUAGGAUCUUCUCUAAGAUCCAUAACCUUACUAGUUACAGGUAUUUGGCUAGGUUUCCAUUACAUGACAUGGUUUUCCUCUAACUUAGUGAGCGUUAAGUCCAUUUAGACAGCAGUUGGUUGCUGCCAAGAUGUAAGCACCAUGAUUGCACCUUUUGGGAUAUCUUGCCAUAAUAGUCACUGUGGUGGUUCACACUCAUCACAGUUAUGGGGGACUAUUGAUCACUUUCUUCCCUUGGUGGCUUGCAUGGAACCGUCUGAUACUAUGAAAGCUAGUCUUCAGGGAGGAGGUUUUCGGGACAGAUCCAGCUUGAAUCCUCUGAGUCUUAUGUCCAAAGUGUGUGCGAUAUUUAACAACAGGCAAUAGAGACUUACCUUCAACUUCUGGGAAGCAACAGCAAUAGUCUGUAUUAUUUUAAAAGUCUCUUGGAUUACCCUGACCAAUACCUCAAAAGGAGGUUUUUCAUGCCUUGUGCUGGUUUGUUUAUUUGUUUGUUUCAGAUAGCCUAUGGCUCUUCCGGGGAGCAUUAUGGUCCAAGUGGCAUAAUUUUAUUUAAAUUAUGUACAUAUGUAUAUGUAGUGAUGUUCUGGAAUUUUGGUUUCUUUAAAAACACAGAAAUAUUAUAAGCAUAUGUUUUUGUUUUAAUCCCAGGUUUGUGCUGUGGUGCUGCUUCAACUGUCUGCAGUAUCAGACUAUGAUUUGCCUCAUGCUCAAGCAGAGGCAUGGCUUUGCCAGCUGCAGAUAAUUUCUGUGAUUGGGUGACAUUUGGAACUCUGGGAACUUUUCAGAGGAUGUAUAAAUGUUAGGGCUUCGAGAGGCAGGGUUGGUAGUUGGUGGUCUUUUAGGGAGGUUGGUUGUGGUUUGUUGGUAGUUGUGCUUAAAGAAGAAACAAGAAGAAAGAAAUUAGGUUCAGGGAUUUUCCUAUUUCUUCUCUCCCUUCAAUCCUUCUUUCUGUACAGGGGGAUACAGGUGAGAACAAAAAGAAUCCACAAAAUAGCAAAGACAAGCUACAAGUGGCAUCUCAAUGUGGAGCUCAGAAGUUAAGACUCAACAUGGGAAAUCUGAUUUCAAAUGCUGUAGAGGAAAUGGAUCAAACACUCAGAACUAGUUUGGCUUGGAGCACCUUGGAAAAGGCAAUGAAUCAGGGUGGCCUCUUCCAAAGCUUCUUGGAUGAGUCCAAUUCUCCAAAGAGCCCAGAAUCAAACACCUCAGAACUAACUUGGCUUGGAGCAUCUUGGGAAAGGCAACGAAUCAGAGUGGCCUCUUUCAAGGCUUAUUCUCCAAAAAGUCCAGGAGAUUCAAAGAAGAUGACCCUGAACUUGAAGUAUUUAGAGGGAUGAUGCUGAAUGGAUGCUGUGAAGAGGAACCAGGUUAUGGCCAGUCUGUGCUUCAGGUCUGAAGAAACAAAAGAAAAAUAGUGAGGGUGUGACUGGGGAAUCUGGAGGCUUUAGCAACACUGACUGUCCUCAUGGAGAAGCUGGAGGCUUUAGCGACUGCCGGUUCCCAGCAUUCAGCAUGAUCCCAUCUUCCAGUGCCAUGUGUGUUGCAAGCAGCGAGACCCACAACCUGCUCUAACAAGGGGGGUAGGGGGGGUGCAUCUUGGCUUCUCCUCAUACAGGUCCCGAGCCACAGUGGGGAAAGAGAGCCAUCUUUGCAUUACAAAGGAGAGUGUCCGCUCACUCAAAGCCUGGAUGUGACAUUACUGAGACACUGUCACUAGGGGUCCAGGCUCCCAACUGAUAUCCUGGGCAAGGUCAUGUGUCACCUCAUUCCCCAUUUUUCCUGACAUUAGUCCCCAAGCCUAGCUGUUACCCAGCAAGCUUUUCACUCUUCAGCCUCGCUCAAGGCUUUCAGCAACAUGUCUUAGAACCCUGCCUCCCCAGCUUGCCCCUGUCCCCAGACCAGUUUCUCCCCCUUUCCUCAAUAGUGUGUGAAAGGAAAAGGAAUUCCCGUUAUCCUCAGGUCUCCAGAAGGACAAGCCUCAAAGUGUGAACAGAAAGUGCUUGCCAAGUGCGCCCAAGUGGUUAUUUUAAUCGUGUGGAACAAGUCCCCUCUUCAUGGAAAAUUUUCUACUCUAACACCUGCAGCAUUAAAGGCGUCCUGGCUCCUUCUCCCCUGGGCUACCAGGACUCACUCUUUUACCAGGGCAGGAUGCCAACUCAGAACCAACAUGCAGACAUGAGUGGUGCCCGCCCCUUCAGCAAAGUCUUCUCUGGGAUCCCUGGAUCAGGCUUGUCCCUGCCCUCUGGUUGUGUUCCUCUGCUCCCUUCCUGUUUCAUUUGGUUAACACAGAACCUGGGGCUCGAUUUGUGUAGGACUGACAUGGCAUCUUUGUGGAAUAAACCCAUGGGCGCCUUGCUCUUCAACAUACACCCCAGCCACUCCGUGCUUCUGACCUUACUGAGUAGGACCAACCAAGCAGUGUUGCUCCCAGGAUACUCUGAGUUAUUUAACAUGUUUCCUGUCUUGUCUUCUGCCAUAGACAACCCAUCACCUGUUCACGUGCUGUGUGCCAGCUAGCAUCAUGUCCAGGGCAGUCAUAAACGAUCCACCCACACAGCAGCAUCAGCACAAGUGGGGUAGGGCCAUUAACGGAGCGAUGGGGCGGACUGCCUGAUUCUCUAGCCUCCUGGUUAGGAUUUGCAUGAUUGCCCCGGAGGGUGGAUUCUAUGGAGCUGCACUAAUUUAGAAACUGCACACACAGCUAUGCUGCUUUGUAGAGAUGGGAGCUGAGAGUGUGUCUGUGUGUCUGUGUGUGUCCUUGGGUACACAUGUGGGUAUAUGUUGAGACUAGAGAUCUAGUGUUUUCUACAGUCACUCUUCACCGUACGUUUGAGACAGGUUCUCUCACUGAACCUUGAGCUUACAGAUUCUGGUGCACUGGCUGGUCAGAAGUUCCCAGGACGGUCCUGCCUCUGCCUCCCCAGCUCUAGAAUUAAAGGCUCAGGCCACCUUACAGGCUUUUAUGUUGAUCCUGGGGAUGGAACUCAGGUCCACAUGUUUACAUCAUAAACACUUGGUUGACUGAGUCAUCUCCACAGUCCCUAGUAGCUGAUCUGUGUGUAGUGCUCUGUCCUCCUGUCAGGCCAUUUGGAGGACCAUUUCUCUUUAUGACCAAGAACCAGUUUAUAGUCCAGGAGUCAUAGGGGAGGCCUUGAAAAUAGUCUGGACUAUGGGGCUGGAGAGUGGCUCAGUGGUUAAGAGCACUGUCUGCUCUUCCAGAGGACCUGAGUUCAAUUCCCAGCAUCCACCUGGUGCUUACAACCAUCUGUAAUGGAAUCUAAUACUCUCUUCUGGCAUGCAGAUGCGUAUGCAGACAGAACACUCAUGCAUAAAAGAAAAUAAAUUAAAAAGAAAAUAGUCUGGACUAAAUCUGACCCAAGAAUUGUCACCACCCAAAUGCCUGUGGGGUUCAAGUAUCGGUGGUAAAAAUGCACACAGUAGGCCAGCAAGAAAGCAACUUAUAGCAUAAGUCCAACAACCUGUAUUUGAUCCUGGGACAUAGAACGGAGAUAACAGACUUCUGAAAGUUGUGCCCUGACUGCCAUAUGCAUGGUGUAGCACAUACACAUUCACCCUCACACAUUCGCAUCACACACAAACACACACACACACACACACACACACACACACACACACACACCAGUAUUUUCUAAAGUCUGAGAUGAUUGGGACAGGAAAUAGGAGGCCAUUGGGUAGGAUAGUGGCUUUAUACUUUUCCAGUAUAAAGAAAAGAACCAGGGGCCUGACACGGGGUUGGUGACACAGGAAAAGACUGUGACUGGGAAGGAGCAGCACCAUGGAUGCCCAAAAACAGCCUGAGACAGUGUGUGUAUUCACUCAGCUUGGGCAAAAGCUAAAAUACACAAUUCCCCUCCAAGUUGCCUUUGGUUACACUGUUUAUCAUAACAGUGCAAAGUGUGGUGGUUUGAAUAUGCUUGGCCCAUGUGAAAUGACACUGUUAGGAGGUAUGGCCUUGUUGGAGUAGGUGUAGCUUUGUUGGAGGAAGUGUGUCUCCAUGAGGGGGGUCUUUGAGGUUUUCAAGUGCUCAAACACCACACAGUGUGAAAGAUAGUCUCCUAGCUGCCUGCAGAAGAGUUUUCUCCUGGUUGCCUUCAGAUCAAGAUAUAGAAUUCCUCCAGCUCUUUGUCUGCCUGCAUGAUGCUGUGUUUCCAUCCAUGAUGAUAAUGUAUUGAACCUCCAAAACUGUAAGCCAGCCCCAAUUAAAUGUUUUCAUUUAUAAGA